CUCUCCUUCUAUUCUAAAUGACAGACUUGCUGGAUAAAGGAUUCUCGGCUGCAUAUUUUUCCUGUUCAUCACGUUGAAGAUCUCCUGCCAUUCCUUUCUGUCCUGCCAAGUUUCAGAGGAGAGAUCGGUCACGAGUCUUAUAGGUCUCCCUUUAUAUGUUAGAGCACAUUUAUCCCUCGCUGCUUUCAGAAUUUUCUCUUUAUCCUUGUAUUUUGCCAGUUUCACUAUGAUAUGUCGUGCAGAAGAUCGAUUCAAGUUACGUCUGAAGGGAGUUCUCUGUGCCUCUUGGAUUUCAAUGCCUUUUUCCUUCCCUAGAUCCGGGAAGUUCUCAGCUAUGAUUUCUUCAAGUACACCUUCAGCACCUUUCCCUCUCUCUUCCUCCUCUGGAAUACCAAUUAUGCGUAUAUUAUUUCCCUUUAGUGCAUCACUUAGUUCUCUAAUUUUCCCCUCAUACUCCUGGAUUUUUUUUAUCUCUCUUUUUCUCAGCUUCUUCUUUUUCCAUAAUUUUAUCUUCUAGUUCACCUAUUCUCUCCUCUGCCUCUUCAAUCCGAGCUGUGGUCGUUUCCAUUUUAUUUUGCAGCUCGUUUAUCGCAUUUUUUAGCUCCUCCUGACUAUUCCUUAGUCCCUUGAUCUCUGUAGCAAUAGAUUCUCUGCUGUCCUCUAUACUGUUUUCAAGCCCAGCAAUUAAUUUUAUUACUAUUAUUCUAAAUUCACUUUCUGUUAUAUUGUUUAAAUCCUUUUUGAUCAGUUCGUUAGCUGUUGUUAUUUCCUGGAGAUUCUUUUGAGGGGAAUUCUUCCGUUUGGUCAUUUUGGAUAGUUCCUGGAGUGGUGCGGACCUCCAGGGCACUUCCCCCGUGCUGUCUUGAAUAACUCGCGUUGGUGGGCAGGGCCGCAGUCAGACCUGAUGUCUGCCCCCAGCCCACCGCUGGGGCCACAGUCAGACUGGUGUGUGCCUUCUCUUCCCCUCUCCUAGGGGCGGGAUUCACUGUGGGGUGGCGUGGCCCGUCUGGGCUACUUGCACACUGCUAGGCUUGUGGUGCUGGGGAUCUGGCAUAUUAGCUGGGGUGGAUCGGCAAGGUGCACGGGUGUGGGAUGGUCAGGCUCAGCUCGCUUUUCCUUCGGAGAUCUGCUUCAGGAGGGGCCCUUCAGCACUGGGAGGGAGUCAGACCCGCCGGAGGGAUGGAUCCACAGAAGCACAGCGUUGGGCGUUUGCGCGAUGCCAGCAAGUUCCCUGGCAGGAACUGGUUCCCUUUGGGAUUUUGGCUGGGGGAUGGGCAAGGGAGAUGGCGCUGGCGAGCGCCUUUGUUCCCCGCCAAGCUGUGCUCUGUCGUCUGGGGCUCACCAACUCUCCCUCCCGUUGUCCUCCAGUCCUCCUGUUCUCUGAGCAGAGCUGUUAGCUUAUAACCUUCCAGAUGUCAAGUCCUGCUUGCUGUCGGAACACACUCCGUCCGGCCCCUCCGCUUUUGCCAGCCAGACUCGGGGGCUGCUUGGCCGGCGGGCCACCCCUCUGCCCCGGCCCCCUCCCGCGAGUCCGUGGAGCGUGCACCGCCUCGCCGUCCUUCCUACCCUCUUCCGUGGGCCUCUCGUCUGCACUUGGCUCCGGAGACUCCGUUCUGCUAGUCUUCUGGCGGUUUUCUGGGUUCUUUAGGCAGGUGUAGGUGGAAUCUAAGUGAUAUGCAGGACGCGGUGAGCCCAGCAUCCUCCUACGCCGCAUGUUCCUCUAGUCCCUAAGUCCAAGGUCUUAAUUUUCUUAACUACACAAUUCCCUCAAAAACUCAGAAGGCUUCGGAUCUAUUUGCUUCCUGUGCAUACUGUGGGACAGAUGCCUCUGCCAAAUAAUUUACUAAAUUGAAUUCUUUUUCUUUAUGUUUAUUUAUUUCUUUUGAGAGAGAGAGGAAGAGAGAGAGACAGAGACAGAGACAAUCUCAAGCAGGCUCCACCCUCAGCGCGGAGCCCAAUGUGCACCCUGACCUCACGACCGUGAGAUCACAACCUGAGCCAAUAUCAAGAGUCAGAUGCCCAACUGACUGAGCCACCCAGGUGACUCUUUAAAUGGAAUUCUUAAGCCUGAUCUCUUUCUCUGACUCCUAUUCACCAUGUCAUUCUUUCCCUUGUUUCUGCAGGUCUUCUUCAUGGGGCCUUAUUUCCUUAAGUGCCCAGUUGCCUUUGCACUACUCAUUAGUCUUUGCAAAAUUACUUGUUGGGAUUCUCUAAGGCAUAGGGUGAAGGUACUCUCUCCAGAGAUACUUGGUUUUCCGUCUACCAAAUUUAUUCCACACUAUCAUUUGGGCACUACCUUAAAGCACGUUUAGGGCGUGGGGUUUCCUGACCCACUCAGGUCUCGAGAACUUGGGCUGUGAAUCCUUGCAAUGACUGAGCAAUGGUCACAAAUUCCCAGGGUUAAGUGUGUAUAUUUCUAUUCAUUUUUAAUUUUUUCUGCUUCAUUCAACACUAUGGCAACUUUCCCUGCAAUCCUCCAGGGUUGGGUUCAGAAACAGCAAGUUGACUUUUGGUUCAUUCGAAGCCUGAGGGUAGGGUCCUUUGCAAGUCCAGGGCAAAGCUGGGACCACAUCUGGUAAAACUUUCCACCUUGGAUGGGCCUUGGAAAACGACUUCUGUUCCUCUUGCCCCAUGAAAUUAAAAAGAUAAACAUAAGUUUCCUGCUAUCCGUAAACAACCCUAGGGCAGACUUAAUGUUGUUGCCAAUAUUCUCCCCUUCUUUUCUGGGUUCAGGUUUUCUCCCAGAGUUUUCUCUGGUAAUCCCCACUCUAUUUUGUCGACUUAUCAAUGGGUGUAAGAUAAUUUCUAAUGCUUUCAAUCCAGUUACAUUAGUUCCUCCUCAGAGGGUAAUUAGCCCCAAUUUCAGGCCACCACUAUUGAAAAAUAGAAUUCCUAAGCACAAUGUAUGUUCUUGUCAUAUAGUCCUAUGAAAACUGAAACGUUGAAAGAAAAAAACGGACACGUCAGAAAAAUACGAUAUAAGUAAGUUUAAAAUAUUAAGUCAAAGAAAAAUAUAUACGGUAGACCCUUGAACAAUAUGGGCCUUGAAGUGCAAAAGUCCACUUAUGUGUGAUUUUUUACAGGACACUACUGCAAAUGUAUUUUCUCUUCCUUAGGCUUUUCUUAAAUUUUCUUUUCUCUAGCUUACUUAUUAUAAAAAUACAAUAUACGGGGCGCCUGGUAUUCAAAAUAUGUGUUAAUUGGCUAUGUUAUUGGUGAGGCUUCUGGUCACCAGUAGGUUGUUAGUAGUUAUGUUUUGGGGCAGUCAAAUUUACAUGCAGAUUUUCUACUGUGUAGGGAGUCAGCCCCUUACCCCUGCCUUGUUCAAGGUCAGCUGUAAUUUAAAGUGUUUUAAACUGUUCAUAGCUGGGAAACCUGGGUGACUCAGUUGAUUAAGCAUCCAACUCUUGAUUUCAGCUCAGCUCACGAUCUCACAAUUUGUGAGGUCGAGCCCCACAUUGGGCUCUGCACUGAAAGCAUGGAGCCUGCUUGGGAUUCUCUCUCUCCCUCUCUCUCUGCCUCUCCCCCGCUCAUGUGCCCUCUUUCUUUCUCUCAAAAUAAAUAAACUUCAAGAAAAAUAAAAUAAGAAAAAUGAGAAAAAUAAAAUUUUUAAUAGUUAAAAACAUUUCAAAUUGUACAAGAAAAUUUUCUCAUUGAUAAUGACCAUCAAGAUUUUCAAAGGGUCAUUAAAGAAUCAUGAUCAAAAAUUAUGUGGUACAUUUCAAGAACAAAAUUCUAUAUAAAAAGUUAUACAAGGAUACCCUUGUAUAACUUGCAUAGCCACCCUUGUAUAGCCCUUGUAUAGCCACCAUUGGGUGGCUCUGUGCCUUAAGCAUUCGACUUUGGUUCGGAUCAUAAUCUGAUGGUUCAUGGGUUCAAGCCCUGUGUUGGGCUCUGUGCUGACAGCUCAGAGCCUGGAGCCUGCUUCGGAUUCUGUGUCUCCCUCUCUUUCUAACCCCUCCCCUGCUUGAGCUCUGUCUCUGUCUCUCUCUCUCUCAAAAUAAAUAAACCCUAAAAAUUUUUUUUAAUUUAGACAAAAGCUACAAGAGUGAGAAAGCUGACGUUUCUAAUUUAAAAAUUUGAAAAUAUUCAACUUGGUAACUUCACAUAUACUCAAUAUACAAGGUCUUUCCUAAUUCUUGUAUUUUUAUUAUUCUUACCAUAACAAUGUGGUAUUUUAAUGUAAUGAAUUUUUUCAUCAUGCCCUAAAUAGGGGCUCCCAGAUACCUUCAGUUCAUCAUAGGAUGACUAAUGUUUUCUAUUCAUGCCUGGAUAUUAAGACAGUUGAAAGUACUGGGAGAGAAAUCAAGACCACAGGAACAUGCUAGUUAAUAAACAUAGAAUGAGCUGGUUUUAUUUUUGAGUAAAGCAAAUAUAAUACAGGUAGGAACACAUGCAGGUAGCCAACAAAUGCCCACAGAGCUGCAGAGGAUUUUUGACUCCACUUUACAUAAAAUUAAAACUAUUGUGGCUACACAACCUCCUAGUUGUAGCAAACAGCCCGCAGGGAUUUAUUUUGUGUCACUGGUUACAGGGCACGUAUUCGGACACUCCAGUCUUUCCUAAUUCUUUAUCAGGCUUGCUCUGAUGUUCUGAUCUUCAUACUUGAUCAAAGUCUCCUACUUUUGCCCCUAACGGCAGAACUAGUUCGUCUGUUUCGUCAUAUGCUUCAACAUUCUUUAGUGAGGUCAGAUGAAGCUCAGUUUCCUCGCCAAGGCACUAUCCGAGGCAGCUGUUCUGAGCCCCGCAACGCAGGAGAAUAGCAGGACCGGGUCAACUCUGACUUUGAGGAACAGACUUCUCUAGAGAGCGCUAUUAUUUCCACCCACAGUUUAGAGAUUGCUGGGCGCAUAUCUGCUGUAUAAUCUGCUGUGUAACUUGGAUGAGGUGCCAACAGCUGCCCACUUCAGUUUUUAAGUUGCUUGGAAGGUAGAAUGCCUAUGGGAGCCUAAUAGGACUGAUGCAGUGCAGGGGAGGGGGGUGUUGUAGCCUCAGCUGUGCACAGAGGCAGCAUAAAGACAUGGAACCAUUUUUUCCUGCAGAAAACUAGAAAGAUUCCCACACCGGAGCUGGCAGGCAUGGAGAUAGGGACUGGGAAAUGGAGCCCAAAUGAGGCUGACCAAUGAAAGGAGCCUCUACGCAUCAUGAUGCUGGUGAUCCCCCUUCUCUACCCCACCAAGCUUCCGGGCCAUGGGCAGAUGCAGCAUUUGCCUUCCUAUAAACAGGACUGCACCGAGGGUGUGCAAGACCCCAAGCAAUUUUUUUUUUUUUUUUGAGAAUCCCGUUUAUAACAACAAUCUGGCUUAAAACUGCAUUACAAAAUCCAUGGUCCCUGUGUAAGGUAGAGUCAUUUAUUGAUGGAAAUUUAGAAUAUUGGGUAGAGAAAAA